UUUGAAACACUAGUUCUUGUAUGAUCACUGAAGUUAAGCAAUAUUGAGCCUAGUCAGUACCUAGAUAUGUGACUGCUUUGGAAUAACUGGUGCUGUAAG